rnacentral:misc_RNA from 1 species
AGAAAGAGAAGGGUUGUUGGUGAUUUGGUUGUUGGAGGUGAGUUUUGAAUUGACAGUAAGUUGGAUGGCAAUGGUGUUGGUAAGGGCGGAGUUGGCGACAUGGAGGCUGCAUUGAUGCUCGAUGUUGUGUCGAUGUCAGACUGGAGGCUGCAUCAAUGGUUGAUGUUGCAUUCUUAUGCUGCUGGAGACUCAAUGCUGGUAGCGUUAUUGAUGGGCCUUUCGUGCCUUCUUGUCUAAUGGAGAGUGAGGGAAAGAAUAUGUCGGUGCUUCUUGGGAGAGCGGGUGAGAGAAUGCAGAGGAGGCAGAAUGUUACGAUCCUACAUUGUUAAGGAACAACUUUGGUGAGAGGUUAACAAGUCCAUAGGCAUCCUCCCUUGCAAGCCUGUUUUCAAGGGUGAGUUCUACCUA